UUCAUAGGAGGCACACAUAAAUAAUGUUGGUUUAAUUAAUGAAAUUAAAAAAGGCUGCACUCUCCUAACCAGAUUGUGUAUCUCCUCUGCACCUGAAGUUCAGACUUGGUAAAGCAGGAUUUUACACAUUAAUUUGAGAAGAUCUGGAGACCCACUAUGAAAAUGGAGAAUAUAUUAUCAGGCAAGGUGCAAGAGGGGACACCUUCUUUAUCAUCAGCAAAGGAACGGUAAAUGUCACUCGUGAAGACUCACCGAGUGAAGACCCAGUCUUUCUUAGAACUUUAGGAAAAGGAGACUGGUUUGGAGAGAAAGCCUUGCAGGGGCAUUUGGGAAAUACUGGUGGAGAAGCAAAACAUGUUUCUUCAUGGAUCUUACAUUUUGAGGGAAGAUGUGAGAACAGCAAACGUAAUUGCUGCAGAAGCUGUAACCUGCCUUGUGAUUGACAGAGACUCUUUCAAACAUUUGAUUGGAGGGCUGGAUGAUGUUUCUAAUAAAGCAUAUGAAGAUGCAGAAGCUAAAGCAAAAUAUGAAGCUGAAGCGGCUUUCUUCGCCAACCUGAAGCUGUCUGAUUUCAACAUCAUUGAUACCCUUGGAGUUGGAGGUUUCGGACGAGUAGAACUGGUCCAGUUGAAAAGUGAAGAAUCCAAAACGUUUGCAAUGAAGAUUCUCAAGAAACGUCACAUUGUGGACACAAGACAGCAGGAGCACAUCCGCUCAGAGAAGCAGAUCAUGCAGGGGGCUCAUUCCGAUUUCAUAGUAAGACUGUACAGAACAUUUAAGGACAGCAAAUAUUUGUAUAUGUUGAUGGAAGCUUGUCUAGGUGGAGAGCUCUGGACCAUUCUCAGGGAUAGAGGUUCGUUUGAAGAUUCUACAACCAGAUUUUACACAGCAUGUGUGGUAGAAGCUUUUGCCUAUCUGCAUUCCAAAGGAAUCAUUUACAGGGACCUCAAGCCAGAAAAUCUCAUCCUAGAUCACCGAGGUUAUGCCAAACUGGUUGAUUUUGGCUUUGCAAAGAAAAUAGGAUUUGGAAAGAAAACAUGGACUUUUUGUGGGACUCCAGAGUAUGUAGCCCCAGAGAUCAUCCUGAACAAAGGCCAUGACAUUUCAGCCGACUACUGGUCACUGGGAAUCCUAAUGUAUGAACUCCUGACUGGCAGCCCACCUUUCUCAGGCCCAGAUCCUAUGAAAACCUAUAACAUCAUAUUGAGGGGGAUUGACAUGAUAGAAUUUCCAAAGAAGAUUGCCAAAAAUGCUGCUAAUUUAAUUAAAAAACUAUGCAGGGACAAUCCAUCAGAAAGAUUAGGGAAUUUGAAAAAUGGAGUAAAAGACAUUCAAAAGCACAAAUGGUUUGAGGGCUUUAACUGGGAAGGCUUAAGAAAAGGUACCUUGACACCUCCUAUAAUACCAAGUGUUGCAUCACCCACAGACACAAGUAAUUUUGACAGUUUCCCUGAGGACAACGAUGAACCACCACCUGAUGACAACUCAGGAUGGGAUAUAGACUUCUAAUGUAUUUCUCUUACCUGCUUCUGCCUUGCUGAAGACAGCUUUUUCUGAGACACAGCUGCCAGCAAACCUGAGGGAAAGAGAGAAGAUUAGUGCUCGGGGUCACCAUGAUGCCUUUGAUCGAUGCUGCUCCAGUAACUACAGUGGCAUUAGGACUUAUCGCUUAGAUGACAAUAGUGCUCUUUACAUGUUUUCUGUUUGAACCUAAAAUAGCAGUUGACAUGGUGGUCCUGAAGCAAAGCCUUUCACCAGUAAAGAGAUGUUUUCUAUUGUUGCAAUG
rnacentral:sRNA from 1 species